GGCACUGUGGCGAAAUUGGUAUACGCGCUGGUCUUAAGCCCCGGCUUUCAGGGUCCUAAGCCUCCCAGUUCCCCUGGAUUACGGGUUCAAGCCCCGUCUGUGCCA